UUUAUUAAAACUGAGUAUGUUACUCUGUUUAAAGUGUUUACGGUGUUAAAAGUAAAAGUUUGAUUCAAUUCUGUGCCACUGUUGAGUGUGUUACUGUGUUGAAGAAUUAAAGUC